rnacentral:lncRNA from 1 species
UGCCCGCCGCUGCAUUACUGAGCGACAUGCAAGCACCUGGGCUUCCCAGAACCUCGCGGGUGGUGCCUCAGGUCUCCGUUCAUGCCGGCAUGUCCCUGUCACCUUUCAGCCCCUGGGACCGCAGCUGUCCCCUGCAGGGCGGGAGCCAUCCUGGCCUUCAGGAGCCCUGCCCCGCAGCAGCCGCACCCCACCUCGUGCCCCGCAGCACCCCCCUCGUAGCUCUAACUUAGCAGGUGCACACCCUCUGCCCGCGGGGCUCUAGCAGGAGAGCAUGGGUUUCUAGGCGGCCGGCGCUCGCUUAGUCUGUGUGUUGCCGUGUCCACAUACCACACGUGGUAGGCAGACCGUUAGGGUCUAAUAAGCCGCAGCCACAGGGGCUUGCGCUGACCACAGUUUGCUGUUGGCGUCUACCACAGACCUAGUCUGAGCCGGAGGCCCGGGGCUGGUGGCCUGGCUCACCCUCGUCACCGUCCACUCACUCAUCCUUAGCUACUUCCUGCCUUACAGGGGCCCACAGAGAUGUUUUUACAAAUAUGUCUUUUAGAUCGUGGGAGCAAGACCCUGAGGACUAACGUCCAGAUCACAGCAAGAGGAUCCCCCCUUUGCUGAAUUAUCAUCUGCAGAUUGAGGUCAACGGUGAACCUUCAGGACACAUCGUCGUGAGAAUCAGACUCUUCCUGUCCAGAAGGCCGCGAGAGCGAGGCGUGGCACCAGGGCCCAGGGGCGAGCGGCGGCCCCCCCCCCCCACGGCCCCCCACGCGGGCCUGCAGGCGCCGCCCGGAGCCUCCGUGGAGGGAAUUCAGGAUCCGCGCACCUGCUGCUCCCGCGCCGCGCUCGCCGCCCGCCCGGAGGGUCCAGGCUUCCGGCCGCCCGCAAGGGCAGUGGCUGCGGCUCGGGACCGAACGGGGCUGGCCCCCGUCCCCCCCCCAGCGCCCCCCCCCCCCACACCCGUGGGCGCCUUAAGGUGCGCCUCCGCUCCAGCACAGUCUCGCGGGGGGGGGGGGGGCCCGCCCCACCUCCCCCCAAGGGUGCCGCCCCACAGCCCCGGGGGACUCCGCGCGGCCAGAGAGCUGCUUCAGAUCCUCUCUCCCUCUGGCCCCUCCCGCGGUCUCCC